AGCUUGUUAGCUGUUUACUUCCCUCUGGCAUUUUGUUCUCAGGACUAUAAAUAAUUUCAUUCCAUAAAGUUCAUCAGAUCACUUUUAUGUAGAUGUUGCUACAACAAGAGCAUGUUGAGAUGAUUUGAGACGACGUGGAAGCAGAUGUCAG